rnacentral:rRNA from 1 species
GUGCAGCAGGCGCGAAAACUCCACAAUGUGGGAAACCACGAUGGGGGAACUCCCAGUGCGCACACUUUGUGUGCGCUGUUCUCCUGCCUAAAAAGCAGGAGAAGUAAGGGCCGGGUAAGACGGGUGCCAGCCGCCGCGGUAACACCGGCCGCCCAAGUGGUGACCGCUAUUAUUGGGCCUAAAGCGUCCGUAGCCGGUCCAGUAAGUCUUUGGGUAAAUCCUACUGCUUAACGGUAGGAAUUCUGGAGAUACUGCUGGACUUGGAGCUGGGAGAGGUCGAAGGUACUCCUGGGGUAGGGGAGAAACCCUAAAAUCCUAGGGGGACCGCCAGUGGCGAAGGCGUUCGACUAGAACAGGCUUGACGGUGAGGGGCGAAAGCUGGGGGAGCGAACCGGAUUAGAUACCCGUGUAGUCC